AUUGAACGCUGGCGGCAGGCCUAACACAUGCAAGUCGAGCGGAGGAAGGGAGCUUUCGCCUGGAUUCAGCGUCGGACGGGUGAGUAAUGCCUAGGAAUCUGCCUGGUAGUGGGGGAUAACGUCCGGAAACGGGCGCUAAUACCGCAUACGUCCUGAUGGAGAAAGUGUGGGAUCUUCGGACCUCACGCUAUCAGAUGAGCCUAGGUCGGAUUAGCUAGUUGGUGGGGUAAAGGCCUACCAAGUCGACGAUCCGUAACUGGUCUGAGAGGAUGAUCAGUCACACUGGAACUGAGACACGGUCCAGCCUCCUACGGGAGGCAGCAGUGGGGAAUAUUGGACAAUGGGCGAAAGCCUGAUCGAGCCAUGCCGCGUGGGUGAAGAAGGUCUUCGGAUUGUAAAGCACUUUAAGUUGGGAGGAAGGGCAGUAAGUUAAUCCCUUGCUGUUUUGACGUUACCAACAGAAUAAGCACCGGCUAACUUCGUG
rnacentral:rRNA from 1 species